UGCAGUCACGGGGGCUCAGCAAUGAGCAACCGGCGAACGGGUGCGUAACACGUGAACAACCUGCCCUCGUGUGGGGGAUAGCCAUGCUAACGCGUGGGUAAUACCGCAUACGUUCCCUUGGAGGAGUCUCUGGGGGAGGAAAGCUCCGGCGCACGGGGAGGGGUUCGCGGCCUAUCAGCUAGUUGGCGGGGUAAUGGCCCACCAAGGCGACGACGGGUAGCUGGUCUGAGAGGAUGGCCAGCCACAUUGGGACUGAGAGACGGCCCAGACUCCUACGGGAGGCAGCAGUGGGGAAUCUUGCGCAAUGGCCGAAAGGCUGACGCAGCGACGCCGCGUGUGGGAUGAAGCAUUUCGGUGUGUAAACCACUGUUGCCCGGGACGAACAGCCUGUUUCGACAGGUCUGACGGUACCGGGUGAGGAAGCAUCGGCUAACUCCGUGCCAGCAGCCGCGGUAAUACGGAGGGUGCGAGCGUUGUCCGGAAUCAUUGGGCGUAAAGGGCGCGUAGGUGGCACGGUAAGCGUGCGGUGAAAGCUCGGGGCUCAACCCCGAGUCGGCCGUGCGAACUGCUGGGCUUGAGCACUGUAGAGGCAGGCGGAAUUCCGGGUGUAGCGGUGGAAUGCGUAGAGAUCCGGAAGAACACCGGUGGCGAANGCGGCCUGCUGGGCAGUUGCUGACACUGAGGCGCGACAGCGUGGGGAGCAAACAGGAUUAGAUACCCUGGUAGUCCACGCCGUAAACGAUGGGCACUAGGCGCUUGGGGGANCGACCCCCCGAGGGCCGGCGCUAACGCAUUAAGUGCCCCGCCUGGGGANUANNNCCGCANNGCUGANCUCAAAGGAAUUGACGGGGGCCCGCACAAGCGGNGGANCAUGUGGUUUAAUUCGACGC
rnacentral:rRNA from 1 species